rnacentral:rRNA from 1 species
UGGGGAAUAUUGCACAAUGGGGAGACCCUGAACGAGCAAUGCCGCGUGUGUGAAGAAGGUCUUCGGAUCGUAAAGCACUGUUGUAAGUGAAGAAUGCCAUAUAGAGGAAAUGCUAUGUGGGUGACGGUAGCUUACCAGAAAGCCACGGCUAACUACGUGCCAGCAGCCGCGGUAAUACGUAGGUGGCAAGCGUUAUCCGGAAUCAUUGGGCGUAAAGGGUGCGUAGGUGGCACGAUAAGUCUGAAGUAAAAGGCAACAGCUCAACUGUUGUAUGCUUUGGAAACUGUCGAGCUAGAGUGCAGAAGAGGGCGAUGGAAUUCCAUGUGUAGCGGUAAAAUGCGUAGAUAUAUGGAGGAACACCAGUGGCGAAGGCGGUCGCCUGGUCUGUAACUGACACUGAUGCACGAAAGCGUGGGGAGCAAAUAGGAUUAGAUACC